rnacentral:rRNA from 1 species
GGGUAGCCAAGACGGGAAGGGAUAAACGCUGAAGGCAUCUAAGCGUGAAGCCCCCCUCAAGAUGGGAUAUCCAAACUCGAAAGAGUGAGAGACCCCUUAGAGGCGAUGAGGUAGAUAGGGCAGAGAUGGAAGCACAGUGAUGUGUGGAGUUGACUGUUACUAAUCGGUCGAAAGCUUGACCUU